rnacentral:rRNA from 1 species
UACGUAGGGGGCAAGCGUUAUCCGGAAUUACUGGGUGUAAAGGGAGCGUAGACGGUAAUGUAAGUCUGGAGUGAAAGGCGGGGGCCCAACCCCCGGACUGCUCUGGAAACUAUGUUACUAGAGUGCAGGAGAGGUAAGCGGAAUUCCUAGUGUAGCGGUGAAAUGCGUAGAUAUUAGGAGGAACACCAGUGGCGAAGGCGAUUCUCUGGACUGUAACUGACGCUGAGGCUCGAAAGCGUGGGGAGCAAACAGG